GGCUGGUUAGCUCAGUUAAUUAGAGCAUGGUGUUAAUAACGCCAAGGUCACAGGUUUGACCCCUGUACUGGCCA